UCUUAUCGCCAUACCACCCCGAAUACUCUUUAUCUCGUCCAAUCUUGGAAGCCUAGGAGGGUUUGGACUGGUUAGUGUUUGGAUGGGAGACUUCCUGAUAGGGUCAGCUGAGGUUCGGU
rnacentral:rRNA from 1 species